rnacentral:rRNA from 1 species
GACGAACGCUGGCGGCGUGCUUAAUACAUGCAAGUCAACUGAACUUGAAGUAGCAAUAUUUCAAGGGAGGUGGCGCACGGGUGAGUAACACGUAGGUAAUCUGCCUUUAGGUCUGACAUAAUUCCGCGAAAGCGGGACUAACUUCAGAUGAUGCAGCGGCUCGACAUCGAGACAGUCGUUAAACCUUCGGGGCCUAAAGAUGAGCCUGCGUCUGAUUAGGUAGUUGGCGGAGUAAAAGCCCACCAAGCCUGCGAUCAGUAGCUGGUCUGAGAGGAUGAUCAGCCACACUGGGACUGAGACACGGCCCAGACUCCUACGGGAGGCAGCAGUGGGGAAUCUUGCGCAAUGGGCGAAAGCCUGACGCAGCAACGCCGCGUGCGGGAUGACGG